GCCAGAGUGGUGGAAUUGGUAGACACGACGGAUUCAAAAUCCGUUGCCUUUGCGGGCGUGCCGGUUCAAGUCCGGCCUCUGGUACCA
rnacentral:tRNA from 1 species